CCAGCUUCAUGUUUGCUGUGAGGAUUACAGUAAACAUCGGGAUUUCCUGUAAACCGAAUGAGACGGAAGAGAGUCAGCAGCCAGUUGGUUUCACAGCUUGUGGACGGCUACAUGCCCACUGCAGAAAACUCGUUAGUCUUCAACUAUAAUACUUUAAAAAGAGCGAUCCCAUUCAGUACGCAUGGAAACAAAAGUGAAACUUUGGGCUCAGCUUCUGUUUCUACUACUACUCGAAGUCUACGUCUGUGACGAUGGCUCACAGAAACCACAGUGUUCUGUUAAACUUGGGGAAAUAUGUGCAUCUUCUGACAGCGACACUGAGCUUCAGUUCCAACAAACUCUUACAUGCAAUAAGAAUGCUGAAGAAAAAUGACAAAGACAUUUACUUCUGUCGAUAUGGAUACCACGACUUCCCUGACGACUCUGAGAGAAGCAACCUAAAUUUCACUAAAAUGAGUGGUUCAUUUAAGGUUGUGAAAGUGCAGCAGUCAGACACAGGACUGUAUAAGUUAUGUGACCACAAUGACAAAUGCACAUGUGUUCAACUGGUCAUGAGACCAGAUGGAAAAAGUUGUGACGAAGC